rnacentral:rRNA from 1 species
UACAGAGGUGGCAAGCGUUGUUCGGAAUUACUGGGCGUAAAGGGCGCGUAGGCGGCCAUCUAAGUCAGACGUGAAAUCCCCCGGCUUAACCUGGGAACUGCGUCUGAUACUGGAAGGCUUGAGUAUGGGAGAGGGAUGUAGAAUUCCGAGUGUAGAGGUGAAAUUCGUAGAUAUUCGGAAGAACACCAGUGGCGAAGGCGGCUCACUGGCCCGGUACUGACGCUGAGGUGCGAAAGCGUGGGGAGCAAACAGG